UCCCUGGUGGCUCAGACGGUAAAGCAUCUGCCUACAAUGCAGGAGACCCAGGUUCAAUCCCUGGAUCGGGAA
rnacentral:tRNA from 1 species